AUGAACUUCUACAUUCAACAGGGUUCAAUGUACGAAGCCUCAACAUCUCCUUCAUUCAACAUGCUGUCAUCACUGAUGUUUCUAGUUAUUCUCAAAGGAUUCAGCUGUGAAGAACUCAAACCAGUGAAGACAGAAGAGAACAGUGUAGAAGACACAACUGUUACUCUGUCCUGCAAUUUAUCCAGUCAGUUAAAUGAUUAUUUCUUCUGGUAUCGACAAAAUCCGGGAAAACCACCAGCGUUCGUGAUCUUUCACCUUGGAUCCCAACGUGUAACAAACUCUAGACUGUCUGUUAAACUGAGUGAUGAUAAAUCCAGAAUGGAUCUGAACAUCUCGUCUACUAAAGUGUCAGACUCUGCUGUGUACUACUGUGCUGUGAGGCCCAAUGGACUGAACGUCAAAGUGGAUGGAAACCGAAUCAGUCUGAACAUCUCCUCUGCCACAGUGUCAGACUCUGCUGUGUACUACUGUGCUGUGAAGCCCACAGUGACAGGAAACACCAAAACCCUGUACAAGAACCUCUGGAGCAAAGACAACACUGCUCACCAUCCACCAGAGGGAGUCUAUAUCUGA